ensembl:lncRNA
AACAGAGCAGGUCCUUCAUUUCUACGCAAGACCUGGACCUCACCCACACUCGUGAUCUAGAGCUUUGGACUCCUCGAGCCAAGAGCUAAUGAAUUCAGUACCAGAGCAUUCACCAAUACGUGACUUGACUCUAUCGCAUCCGCGCGAGACGCGCACCUGACAAACGCACGCGCAGUUCAGUUCCCCUCAGUUGCCAGGGUUGCAGGCGGCUAAAUCCGUUAUAACUGCUGCAGGCUCAGAGAUCUCUAAAUCUCCGGCCUUGGGUUAUUGACAUUUCCCUUUUUAAUUCCCUCUCGGAGGAGGCUGAGGGGCACGAGAGAAACCAGCGAGUUCUCCCUCCCUGCCCAGAAGCCUGUUUCUGGGAUGAAGAUUUUCUAUUUCGUCAAGAAGAAACAGCAGUUUCAAGCUGCCGAAUUUCUUUGGGGUCACAACAUCCAACUACAUCCCAGGAUACGUGAUCUACAGCAAGGACCUCCGAAAGAUCCACAAAGCGGCUUUGUUAGGGGAUGUGGCCAAAGUGCAGCAUCUACUGCUGUUUGGAAAACACGAAGUGAAUGAUGUGGCUAGAGAGAAGAGAACGGCCCUUAUGAUUGCUGUCACUAAGGAAUCAACAGGCUUGGUCACUCUUCUUCUUCACCAUAAUGCUGAUCACACUAUUCAAGAUGUGUAUGGAUGGACAGCUGAGCUGUAUGCUAAGCAAUAUGGUUAUCCUCUACUUACUUAUCAUCAACAAAUUGAAAAUCAGAAAGAGUGUAAUAAGCCCAGCACAUCUCAAAUCAGCUGUUCAGAACAAGCCUCUGGGGUUAAAUUUCCUUUGGGUGUACCAUUCCUGCACAAAAAAGGUAGAACUGAAAAACCCAAAUAAAUAGUUACUUAAAAAAAAUAAGAGCAAUCUUAAAAUUCAUACAUACUCUAUUUUUCUAUUUCCAUUUUCUAUUUUAAAACAAUAGGAACUGGUUUAUCUUUGGUUAAUGAAUUAAUUACCAAGUUGAGGUCUACUACCCUGGAAGUGCAAAAACAAUGUUUGUGUUACUUUUAUCUGCUUUAUCUCCCCCAAAAUGUUAGGCUAAACUAUCAAUUUUCUGAUUUAUAAAUUAUUGUACAAAUGUCUAACCAAAUUAUUCUACAUAUGUUAAACCAAAAUAACCAAAUGAUUUAACCCAAAGUGAAAAUUCUUUACCACUUAAAAUAUUAAGUGUAACAUUAGGUAAUAUGAUGGUUUUUAUGCUUCAAUGUGGGCUAAAUAAAUAAUGCCAUUACUUAUGAUUUAAUAUAAAUAGAAAGACUGAUUGAUAGAUAAAACAAUCAAACAGCAGAAGAGGAGAAUCUUCAUUCUUUUUUGGCAUUCUCUAAAUCACUUAUCCAAGCUUUGGAAACACAUUUUAAAUGUUUUCAAAAUUUUACAAUGUUCAUAAAGCUUUCUCUCAAUACAAACUAAUGAAAAUGAAAAAGUCAUAAUAAUUGGGACCAGGGUAAUUGAAAGGUAAUUCAUACGAUCGUACUUUUUCUGCGGAUAUUUGCAUACAUGCCCACCUCCAACUUGAUCCUAAGAAAACUUUGCACUCUUCUGAUUCAGAUAGUUAAACUUUAGAAGAGAGAGCAUUUUCUAGUUGAGCUUCUAACACUUUAACCUGCUAACUGGGCCAUUUGAUAACUUAAUAACCUAGGCUUGCAAUAAUAAAUUCAUCUCACCUGUAUAAGAUUAUUAUUUUUUUCAUAUCCAUUUUAUCCAUUACCACAUGAGAAAGAUAGUAUGGGUAUUUUGGUAAUUCCUACUUAAAUGGUGGUGAAAGCAGAAAACUUAAAUGACUUCCUUAAUAGGAUAGAGUGAUCAAGCACUUUUAAUACUUGGGCAUUACACUAUCAGAAGGAGAUGGGUUAUAUAAUUCCUUCCUUAUGGAAGAAAUGAGAAAUCACAAUGGCAAAAAAAGCAGUAUUUAAUUUUAAGUAUAGCUUACUACUGCCUAAAAAUAUUCUUUAAAUAUUUUUAAAUCUUAUUCCUAGUGAUAUGAAAAUUGAUCAUCACUUUUCCUUAUUUUAUUAAUUUGUAAAAUAGUAGAUUUCUAGCUACAUAUGUAAAAUUAUUGUGACAGGCAUUUAAAGGGAUAAAGUGAAGUUCUAUUCAUCAAAAUCUAGUAUUAUAUUUUAUCAUGUUAAUUAGAUAUAAACAUUUUAAACAGUUUUAAAAAUUCCUAAUCCAAUUUUAAUAAAAAUGACUAUAUUAAUAAUCUCAUUGACAAUGGGGUAUCAGUGAA